UGUCCUAAGGCUAGUAUUACCUUAGGACACUUCUGUCGCAUGUCGCA
rnacentral:sRNA from 12 species